rnacentral:rRNA from 1 species
AGUGAACGUUGGCGGCGUGGAUUAGGCAUGCAAGUCGAGCGAGAACCGUAGCAAUACGGGGACAGCGGCGAAAGGGACAGUAAUGUGUAGGUACCUACCCCGAGGUCUGGGAUAGCUGCGGGAAACUGCAGGUAAUACCGGAUAAUGUCUUCGGACCAAAGGUGUGAUUCCACCUUGGGAGGGGCCUGCGUCCUAUUAGCUAGUUGGCGGGGUAAUGGCCCACCAAGGCGACGAUGGGUAGCGGGUGUGAGAGCACGACCCGCGUCAUUGGGACUGAGACACGGCCCAGACGCCUACGGGUGGCUGCAGUCGAGGAUCUUCGGCAAUGGGCGAAAGCCUGACCGAGCGACGCCGCGUGCGGGAUGAAGGCCUUCGGGUUGUAAACCGCUGUCGUAGAGGAGGAAAUGCAGGUGGGUUCUCCCAUCUGUUUGACCUAUUCUAGGAGGAAGUACGGGCUAAGUUCGUGCCAGCCGCCGCGGUAA